rnacentral:rRNA from 1 species
CGAUUAGCGGCGGACGGGUGAGUAACACGUGGGCAAUCUGCCCGUAAGACUGGGAUAACUCCGGGAAACCGGGGCUAAUACCGGAUAAUUCCGGCUCUCUCCUGAGAGCCGGCUGAAAGAUGGUUUCGGCUAUCACUUACGGAUGAGCCCGCGGCGCAUUAGCUAGUUGGUGAGGUAACGGCUCACCAAGGCAACGAUGCGUAGCCGACCUGAGAGGGUGAUCGGCCACACUGGGACUGAGACACGGCCCAGACUCCUACGGGAGGCAGCAGUAGGGAAUCUUCCGCAAUGGACGAAAGUCUGACGGAGCAACGCCGCGUGAGUGAAGAAGGUUUUCGGAUCGUAAAACUCUGUUGUUAGGGAAGAACACGUACGAGAGUAACUGCUCGUACCUUGACGGUACCUAACCAGAAAGCCACGGCUAACUACGUGCCAGCAGCCGCGGUAAUACGUAGGUGGCAAGCGUUGUCCGGAAUUAUUGGGCGUAAAGCGCGCGCAGGUGGUUCCUUAAGUCUGAUGUGAAAGCCCCCGGCUCAACCGGGGAGGGUCAUUGGAAACUGGGGAACUUGAGUGCAGGAGAGGAAAGUGGAAUUCCACGUGUAGCGGUGAAAUGCGUAGAUAUGUGGAGGAACACCAGUGGCGAA